rnacentral:rRNA from 1 species
UUGUAGGCUGNAACCCGCCUGCAUGAAGUUGGAAUUGCUAGUAAUCGCGGAUCAGCAUGCCGCGGUGAAUACGUUCCCGGGGAUUGUACACACCGCCCGUCACACCAUGAGAGUCGGGAACACCCAAAGUCCGUAGUCUAACCGCAAGGAGGACGCGGCCUAAGGUGGGUUCGAUAAUUGGGGUGAAGUCGUAACAAGGUAGC